UACGGGGGGGAGCAAGCGUUGUUCGGAUUUACUGGGCGUAAAGGGCGCGUAGGCGGCGUGGUAAGUCAGCUGUGAAAUCUCCGAGCUUAACUCGGAACGGUCAGCUGAUACUGCUGUGCUAGAGUGCAGAAGGGGCAAUCGGAAUUCUUGGUGUAGCGGUGAAAUGCGUAGAUAUCAAGAGGAACACCUGAGGUGAAGACGGGUUGCUGGGCUGAUACUGACGCUGAGGCGCGAAAGCCAGGGGAGCGAACGGG
rnacentral:rRNA from 1 species